UGGGGAAUAUUGGACAAUGGGCGAAAGCCUGAUCCAGCCAUGCCGCGUGUGUGAAGAAGGUCUUUGGAUUGUAAAGCACUUUAAGUUGGGAGGAAGGGCAGUAAGCGAAUACCUUGCUGUUUUGACGUUACCGACAGAAUAAGCACCGGCUAACUCUGUGCCAGCAGCCGCGGUAAUACAGAGGGUGCAAGCGUUAAUCGGAAUUACUGGGCGUAAAGCGCGCGUAGGUGGUUCGUUAAGUUGAAUGUGAAAGCCCCGGGCUCAACCUGGGAACUGCAUCCAAAACUGGCGAGCUAGAGUAGGGCAGAGGGUGGUGGAAUUUCCUGUGUAGCGGUGGAAUGCGUAGAUAUAGGAAGGAACACCAGUGGCGAAGGCGACCACCUGGGCUCAUACUGACACUGAGGUGCGAAAGCGUGGGGAGCAAACAGG
rnacentral:rRNA from 1 species